rnacentral:rRNA from 1 species
GUUUGAUCCUGGCUCAGAACAAACGCUGGCGGCGUGCCUAACACAUGCAAGUCGUACGAGAAAGGGUCCUUCGGGACCUGAGUAAAGUGGCGCACGGGUGAGUAACGCGUGGAUAAUCUGCCCAUCAGUUGGGAAUAACUCAUCGAAAGGUGGGCUAAUACCGAAUGAUACUGCGAGACUUUGGUCGAGCAGUCAAAGAGAGCCUCUGCUUGCAAGCCCUCGCUGAAGGAUGAGUCCGCGUACCAUUAGCUAGUUGGUAGGGUAACGGCCUACCAAGGCGACGAUGGUUAGCUGGUCCGAGAGGAUGAUCAGCCACACUGGAACUGAGACACGGUCCAGACUCCUACGGGAGGCAGCAGUGAGGAAUCUUGCGCAAUGGGGGAAACCCUGACGCAGCAACGCCGCGUGAGUGAGGAAGGUCUUCGGAUCGUAAAGCUCUGUCAGAUGGAAAGAACCGCAUAGGGACAAACAGUCCCUGUGUCUGACGGUACCAUCAGAGGAAGCACCGGCUAACUCCGUGCCAGCAGCCGCGGUAAUACGGGGGGUGCAAGCGUUGUUCGGAAUUAUUGGGCGUAAAGAGCGUGUAGGCGGCCGGAUGUGUCAGAUGUGAAAGCCCUGGGCUCAACCCAGGAAGUGCAUUUGAAACUAUCCGGCUUGAGUAGGGGAGAGGGAAGUGGAAUUCCUGGUGUAGAGGUGAAAUUCGUAGAUAUCAGGAGGAACACCGGUGGCGAAGGCGACUUCCUGGCCCUAUACUGACGCUGAGACGCGAGAGCGUGGGUAGCAAACAGGAUUAGAUACCCUGGUAGUCCACGCCGUAAACGAUGUUCACUAUGUGUUGGGGGUAUUGACCCCCUCAGUGCCGGAGCUAACGCAUUAAGUG